UAAUUUCUGAGUUUGGAAAUUACAAAAUAGUUGGUGCUUUCACUUUUUUAAUCCUGGGAACAACUCUUUGAUCAUUUCGAGCUCUUAGAUUAAUAUUAAUCGCCUAAGGGGUCCACUAGAUUAUAGGGAGGACCACUAUUAUUCUAAUAUUAUAAUUCUUGAUUUAAAGGCCGAAGAGUUAAAAAUACAAACCUAUUUUGUACUUCUGGAAGCAUAGUAUAUAGGUCUUCUACAUAAUUUUGUCGAAUCGUUGGCGCUAACCAUUAAUCCAAAAAACUCGAGCUGUUAGAAAUACGUAACCAAUUCAAUUAAAAUGUAUAGAUACAGCGCCCACGGGUCUCAAUUGUGACUCGGCCCAACAAGCCUCAUGCCAUUUUGAAUAUGACUUGGCCCACCCAGUCUCACGCCAUUUCAAACAUGACUUGGUCCAACAUAGUCUCCCGCCACAGGGCAUGAUGCUGGCCUAUUUAAGUCAACAAAUUUCUCAUUAAGAAAUAAGUUUAUUCUCC
rnacentral:lncRNA from 1 species